ensembl:lncRNA
CAUCGAUCCUGGCAAUUUUUCCCCUUGGACACCCUGAUUCCUGAUGAGCACAGCAUGGGUGACAUUCGAGUGAAAGUGUUUACAGGUUCCUAUAUCUCAGAUCACAACAGCGCCAAGCAGAGGAGCAGCCAACAAGAAGCAGGUCCAACAACAUGCCUCUCAGCACGAGCGGGAAGUCUAAUUUUCACAUCUGCUCAUUGCUUAGCAGCCAGUGGUCCCCAUUGAAAUGAUAUGGAAAAGAGCAGCGUGAACAUCCUGCCCAACAUCUCCUUUUGUUUGAUGGCGAACAGAAAGUCAAAGGGGUUUGGACUGACAUGAAGCCAUCAAUAGGAGGGAAGAAGGAUCAGCAGGACCCUUGAAGGUGGCCACUGUCAGACAGGUUUAUGGAUGGUGUAGUUCUUCACCAGAACUUCGGCUUUUACACACCACCUCAGGAGCUUAUGCUGAGUCUGUAUUGAAAGGAUUCUGAUAUUUCAUCCAAAAAAGAGCCUACGCAAUCGCACUGAAACCUGAUCCGGGACUCGCAUGAGCCGGGAUUAACAAAAAAUAUUUCAUCUCUGCCUUCUUCCCAGCACCUUGGCCCCUCUUGCUGAUCUUAUCUCCCAAUUACUGCCCUGCAAACAUUCCUGCACUCCAAACAGACUGCGAACGUGGAACGCUGGAGUCCAAGAUCACCUGUUCUUUUCUAGACAUGCAUCUACUUCCUGUUCUGAAGCAACAGUAAGCAGAUGCAGAAGACGUGCCAGUCUAAGAGGCUGUGUGAAGCUCUCUUAAGGACUCAUUCAUCAUUGUAAAAUGGUCAUCCUCCAUUUCAGAAUAAACAGGCUGUCGUUUUUAAUGCAUUCAUUCAUGGGUGGCCACCCCUGCCCACCCAAACAGCCCA